rnacentral:rRNA from 1 species
GAGUUUGAUCCUGGCUCAGAUUGAACGUUGGCGGCAGGCUUAACACAUGCAAGUCGAACGAGAAAGCGCCUUCGGCCGUGAGUAAAGUGGCGGACGGGUGAGUAACGCGUAGGAACCUGCCCGGCAGCAGGGGACAACUCGGGGAAACUCGAGCUAAUACCGUAUGAUAUCUCUUGUCUUCGCGACGGGGGAUCAAAGGGGGCCUAUCCUUGGAAGCUCCCGCUGCCGGAGGGGCCUGCGUUGGAUUAGCUUGUUGGUAGGGUAACGGCCUACCAAGGCGACGAUCCAUAGCUGGUCUGAGAGGACGAUCAGCCACACUGGAACUGAGACACGGUCCAGACUCCUACGGGAGGCAGCAGCAGGGAAUCUUGCGCAAUGGGCGAAAGCCUGACGCAGCGACACCGCGUGGGGGAUGAAGGCUUUAGAGUUGUAAACCCCUUUUCUCGGGGAAGAGAA